GAGGCUGAUGCAGAGGCCAGAGGGGGCCAGCAUGAAGAUGAUGAAGACCGUCUUCUCGGUGGGACGUGACACGAAGCAGUCCACCGUGUUGGGGCAGGG